GGCGGACGCCAUGACGUCGGACGACUUCGACAUCGUCAUCGAGGCCAUGCUGGAGGCGCCCUACAAGAAGGAGGAGGCCCAACCCGGUCCCUCCAAGGUGCCGACCGAGCCCCCCGCGACGCAGGCGGCCGAGGAGCCCAACAAGGAGGCCAAGAAGGAGAGCGGCAGCAGCAGCGGGAGCAGCAAGAAGAAGAGGAGCCGGAGC